UUCUAGGGGAGCCCCGUCCAAGGGGCUGAGAAAUCGCUGGGCGCCGGCCAACGGCCCGCCGCAUGCGCGGACGGACGCAACCGGGGCGACGCGAUGACCCUUUGAACCUGAUCCGGGUUAUGCCGGCGCAGGGAAGAGA
rnacentral:ncRNA from 1 species